UACGGGGGGGGCAAGCGUUGUUCGGAAUUACUGGGCGUAAAGGGCUCGUAGGCGGCCAACUAAGUCAGACGUGAAAUCCCUCGGCUUAACCGGGGAACUGCCUCUGAUACUGGAUGGCUUGAGAGUGGGAGAGGGAUGCGGAAUUCCAGGUGUAGCGGUGAAAUGCGUAGAUAUCUGGAGGAACACCGGUGGCGAAGGCGGCAUCCUGGACCAACACUGACGCUGAGGAGCGAAAGCCAGGGGAGCAAACGGG
rnacentral:rRNA from 1 species